UACGAAGGGGGCUAGCGUUGCUCGGAAUCACUGGGCGUAAAGCGCACGUAGGCGGAUCGUUAAGUCGGAGGUGAAAUCCUGGAGCUCAACUCCAGAACUGCCUUCGAUACUGGCGAUCUUGGAGUCCGGGAGAGGUGAGUGGAACUCCGAGUGUAGAGGUGAAAUUCGUAGAUAUUCGGAAGAACACCAGUGGCGAAGGCGGCUCACGUGGCCCGGUACGUGACGCUGAGGUGCGAAAGCGUGGGGAGCAAACAGG
rnacentral:rRNA from 1 species